rnacentral:tRNA from 1 species
GGAGAGCGCCUGCCUUGCACGCAGGAGGUCUGCGGUUCGAUCCCGCAUAGCUCCACCA